CUGGAUCUGAUAGCUCCAAAUAAGGCAAAUGAUGGGCAAAGCUACUCACUGAGCCUCCCUGCUUUCAUCCUGCCCCCACCUCCCACCCUCACCUCUACCCUGUACCCAACAGCCUGUACCCAUGGAGGCUGGAUGAUCAGGGGAAAUGGGUUGGUUCUCUAUGCUCAAGGGGAUCCUGAUGGUGCCAAGAAUUUGGGUUUUCCUAUACCUGCAACCUUGGCAAACACAACCCCACCAAAGAUGGGAUUAUGGGAUCAAAGUUAACAUCAGAAGUGAUGGGACAGUUCAGCACAGCGAACCAUGGGAUGGAAUGUGAGGGGUGACCUCAUGUACUCUGGAAGGAAAUGCAACGAAGAAAACACCAUAGCUUGUGCAAUAUUCCUGCUCGAGAUGUAUAACCCAAACCCAACCCGAGGACACUGUGAACCAACUGACUGAGGGGUGUUUUGAAAAGUAACUGGCCUGUAACCAGUUCAAGGAGGGGCUGCGGAAAGACUGCACAGGGCAGAAGGCUGAUGAGACAAUAUUAGGACAGUUGAGUACAUAGGAAUGGGGUCUCUAGGCAAAGAGGAGUAGGAAUUCUUUGUUCCACUCUUGUAACUUUCCUGUCACUUUGAAAUUAGUUCCAAAAUUAAAAAGUGUAUGUGUGUGUGUAAAUUGGAAUGAACUUCUAUACAAGCUUACCUAUAUACACAUAUAAUCACUGAUGUUUUCAUAUUCCUGAUACAAAUGGGGGAUGUUUUUAUAAGAAAAAUGGAUAAAAAUUUUAAC